rnacentral:rRNA from 1 species
GACAGAGGGUGCAAACGUUGUUCGGAAUUACUGGGCGUAAAGCGCGUGUAGGCGGCCCUGCAAGUCGGAUGUGAAAUCCCACGGCUCAACCGUGGAAGUGCAUUCGAAACUGCAGGGCUAGAGUCCUGGAGAGGAAGGUGGAAUGCUUGGUGUGGAGGUGAAAUUCGUAGAUAUCAAGCGGAACACCGGUGGCGAAGGCGGCCUUCUGGACAGUGACUGACGCUGAGACGCGAAAGCGUGGGGAGCGAACCGG